CCAAAGUCAACUGCAGACUGAGAACAUUACGUGGAAAAUUCUACAACACCAAGAGGAGCCAUCACAGAAGUAUGAAGAGGGGCGGCGCGGACACAGCUGCCGCCAAGGUGCUGCUGUGCUGCAGGAAGCCAGAGGCCACAGGACCUGUGUCUGGAGAAGUCACAGGGGCGCAGCCGGGAGCGCCUGCGCUGCUGAGCUGCUGCUGCUGAGCUGCAGGGAGCAGUGGGCUCGACUUGCAGGUGUCAGGAGUGGAUAAAUGAUGUGCACUGCCCUGAGCCCUAAGGUUCGCAGCGGACCUGGCCUGUCUGAUAUGCAUCAGUACAGCCAGUGGCUGGCCAGCAGACAUGAAGCUAAUUUGCUGCCGAUGAAAGAAGACUUGGCCUUGUGGUUGACCAAUCUAUUAGGUAAGG